rnacentral:sRNA from 4 species
AAGGGCGCACGGUGGAUGCCUUGGCACUAGGAGCCGAAGAAGGACGUGACAAACGACGAAAUGCCUCGGGGAGCUGUAAGUAAGCACUUGAUCCGGGGAUGUCCGAAUGGGGGAACCCAACAGGUUGAUGCCUGUUACCCAUUUC